GACGAACGCCGGCGGCGUGCUUAACACAUGCAAGUCGAGCGGUAAGGCCUUUCGGGGUACACGAGCGGCGAACGGGUGAGUAACACGUGAGUAACCUGCCCUUCACUCUGGGAUAAGCACGCGAAAGGGUGUCUAAUACCGGAUACGACACAGAGUCGCAUGGCUUUCGUGUGGAAUCUUUUGUGGGUGGGGGUUGUGGUGGGGACCUAUCAGAUUGUUGGUGGGGUAAUGGCCUAGCAAGGCUACGACGUGUAGCCGGGCUUGGAGGGUGACCGGCCACACUGUGACUGAGACACGGCCCAGACUCCUACGGGAGGCAGCAGUGGGGAAUAUUGGACAAUGGUCGGAAACCUGAUCCAGCAACGCCGCGUGAGGGAUGACGGCCUUCGGGUUGUAAACCUCUUUCAGUAUCGACGAAGCGCCCGUGUGGGUGGUGACGGUAGGUACAGAAGAAGCACCGGCCAACUACGUGCCAGCAGCCGCCGUAAAAC
rnacentral:rRNA from 1 species